CGAGGAAGAAGAAGGACGCUCCGUCGCUGUGAUUCCGGUACCGGAGCUCCGUUCCUCAGAACAGACCGGACAGAUUCGGUGUUUCUGCCGGUAAACGGCCUGAAAUGAACCGUUAGAGGACUGAAGGGAAAGUGACGGAGCGGCGGGACGUGAGCAGUCCUCACGAUGCUCUCUCGACCACUGCCACUAAACGAGAGUGACGACGGAGGGCGGGGCCUGGUGGCUGUGACUCCACCCCCUGCUCUCCCAUUGGCUGAUGAGAAUGAUGAUGAUGAUGACACACAAGCAGGAGUUUUUUCCCCUCCUGUGCCUCUGUGGAGCUGCUC